rnacentral:rRNA from 1 species
AUUGAACGCUGGCGGCAUGCUUUACACAUGCAAGUCGAACGGUAACAGGCCGCAAGGUGCUGACGAGUGGCGAACGGGUGAGUAAUGCAUCGGAACGUGCCCAGUCGUGGGGGAUAACGCAGCGAAAGCUGUGCUAAUACCGCAUACGAUCUAUGGAUGAAAGCGGGGGACCGUAAGUCCUCGCGCGAUUGGAGCGGCCGAUGUCCGAUUUGGUAGUUGGGGGGGUAAAGGCUCACCAAGCCAACGAUCUGUAGCUGGUCUGAGAGGACGACCAGACACACUGGGACUGAGCGAAGGCCCAGACUCCUACGGGAGGCAACAGUGGGAAAUUUUGGACAAUGGGCGCAAGCCUGAUCCAGCAAUGCCGCGUGCAGGAAGAAGGCCUUCGGGUUGUAAACUGCUUUUGUACGGAACGAAAAGGUUUGGGUUAAUACCCUGGGCCGAUGACGGUACCGUAAGAAUAAGCACCGGCUAACUACGUGCCAGCCGCCGCAGUAA